UUUAAUGUUCUCAGCUGUAACAGUGUAGUACAAAUAGACCUUUUUUUUGUGGCAAUAGAUGUUUUUGGUAGAGCUGUGUGAGAAACCAAUUGACAACUGUGUAAUGUAUUGCAUCGACGGAUUUGUACGCAGGAUUUAAGGAGAAAGAGAUGAAGAAGGAAGAAGGAGAAUAAUUGUAAGUAUUCAAACCCGAAAAAGUGUUCUGUAAAGAUUUGUUCUAUGUUGUCUGUUCUAAUUAAGUUGUAGAUGCAUGAUCAGGAUUCAGGGCAAAGAUCAAUUAAGUAUGUUCUUAUUAUGUUGCUAAUUAAACUCAAGUUUGUGGUACUUUACAAGUAACAACGCCUUAUAACUAUCCAUAUAUACAUUAUUUGAUGUUAAACAACAUCAAAUCUUUGUGCCGGGAUGUUAUUAAGAAAAGAACUUGGUUCAAGUUUCUUAAUCACUUGUUUUUACAAUAAUUUCAGUUGUAAUAGUGUUCUCUUUUAAGAUCUUGAUCAGUAGUAAGAAAAUAACUUUUCGCUUCUAUCCAAAUGAAAAAAAAAAAAAAAACAAAGCCGGCCUUUUGCUUAAGGCAGAUAUAUGUAACAUUAGCAUUUAGAUAACAAUCUAAUUAAGUUAAAG
rnacentral:lncRNA from 1 species